AAAAAUUCGUGCAAAGAAAAAUGCCUGGAAAAAAAUUCGUGCAGCCAUUACGUCAGAGAAAAAAAAUUUGUGCAAGCAAACAGCGAAGAACAAAUAGUCUUAAAAAAAGUCGUGCAGAGGUUAAAUGCAUUAAAAAAAAUUCCUAAAGAGAAACAAGACUGAAAAAAAAAUAUCGUGCCGCAACAAUUUUAUACCCUCCCGGGAUUUCUAAUGAUCCGCCCCUUAUCCAAUUCUGAUUGAUUUUUCAAACAAAAAUUCAGUUUCAAUUUCCUUUGCUUACGAAAAUGGUAGAUUUAUCAUCCUCG